rnacentral:lncRNA from 1 species
GUUACUAUCUUUUUCAUGCAAAGAAUAACCAUUCUUCCUUUCUUCUGUAAUAAGGUAAUAUGGAGCCAUCCACUGGAAGGCAUUUGUGGGCUGAGAUCAGGUGUUUAAAUCUCUGGCAAAAUAAUCUUUUCUACAUCCCAUCACUGAACUCAUGAUUUUGCCCUAUAAGGUCACUGCCAGCUACUCAGGACAUGACAGAUAAGUCUCAACUAGAGUGCUUCAAGUUGGAAACAAUUUUCAACUGGAGAAAUGUGCCCAGUCUGUUGGUGAAGAGAAAGCACAGGAGAGGUCAGAUUAUUUAAUAUAGAAUAAAGUAAGCAUCAGCUAACCAGCCUCUAAAAGAUGAACCUACUUGAGAGAGGAGAGAACAUCAAAGGCUGCAAUAUGCUGAGCUUUCUAAGAAAACUGCUUUGAAGGGAACAGGUUUUGCUUGGAUGGUUCAACCCCUAGACAGUCCCCUACUCCCUCUCCCAGUGCAGAACAACACGUGGAUUGCUCAGUACAACUUUUUCAUCACAUCCUCCUGUUCACUGAAGAAUUAUGGAAAUAUUCUCUGAGCUGCUUUCCUCCCUGCCCAACGAGUCAUCUCUGUGUGAAAGGCCAAGCUUAUAAAUCCUGCUGUCCCCUUGACAUAUCUUGGCAAGAUAAAUGCAAUGUGGUAAUCAAAUCAGGUGCUGGGCUCCGAGGCCCCAGAUGGAGGGUCAUGAGUCAGUCAUCAUUCCUUGGUCACUCCUGAUGGCAACAAGCAAUGAAAACCCAUCUUCAAACCUCUUCAGAGGCACCAGCUGUUCCCUUUACCUCUUCUAGUGUGAAGGAUCCACAUCAGCCAAGUAUGAUAAUCUCCUCCUGCUGCUCUGUCA